CCUACGGGAGGCAGCAGUGAGGAAUAUUGGUCAAUGGGCGCGAGCCUGAACCAGCCAAGAAGCGUGAAGGAGGACUGCCCUCCGGGUUGUAAACUUCUUUUAUAAAGGAAUAAAGUGCGGCACGUGUGCCUUUUUGUAUGUAUUUUAUGAUUAAGGAUCGGCUAACUCCGUGCCAGCAGCCGCGGUAAUACGGAGGAUCCGAGCGUUAUCCGGAUUUAUUGGGUUUAAAGGGAGCGUAGAUGGGUUGUUAAGUCAGUUGUGAAAGUUUGCGGCUCAACCGUAAAAUUGCAAUUGAUACUGGCAGCCUUGAGUACAGUUGAGGUAGGCGGAAUUCGUGGUGUAGCGGUGAAAUGCUUAGAUAUCACGAAGAACUCCGAUUGCGAAGGCAGCUUACUAAACUGCAACUGACAUUGAUGCUCGAAAGUGUGGGUAUCAAACAGGAUUAGAUACCCGGGUAGUC
rnacentral:rRNA from 1 species